AAUCAAGCGAAUGGUAAGAGCAUUUAGUGGAUGCCUUGGCAAUCAGAGGCGAAGAAGGACGUGAUACACUGCGAAAAGCUACGGGGAGCUGUGAAUAGGCAUUGAUCCGUGGAUAUCCGAAUGGGGAAACCCGGCCAUUUAUGGUCACUUUCACACGAAUACAUAGUGUAGAAAGAGCGAACGCAGGGAACUGAAACAUCUAAGUACCUGCAGGAAAGGAAAUCAACCGAGACUCCGAAAGUAGUGGCGAGCGAAAUCGGACCAGCCGAUGGAUUGAUUAAUAAGAACUGGAACUACAUGGAAAGGUAGACGACAAAGGGUGAUAGUCCCGUACAGGUAGAAAGUUGAUUAAUUCUUGAGUAGGGCGGAGCACGAGGAAUUCUGUCUGAAAAUGGGGAGACCACUCUCCAAGGCUAAGUACUACUGAUUGACCGAUAGUGAACAAGUACCGUGAGGGAAAGGUGAAAAGCACCCCUAUAAGGGGAGUGAAAGAGAACCUGAAACUGAAUGCUUACAAGCAGUCGGAGGGAGCAUGACUCCUGACGGCGUACCUUUUGUAUAAUGGGUCAGCGACUUAGUGUAUGUAGCAAGCUUAAGCCGGUAGGUGUAGGCGUAGCGAAAGCGAGUUUUAAUAGAGCGAUAAGUUACAUGCAUUAGACCCGAAACCGAGUGAUCUAGCCAUGAUCAGGUUGAAGGUUGGGUAACACCAACUGGAGGACCGAACCCACGCCUGUUGAAAAAGUCGGGGAUGAAUUGUGGCUAGGGGUGAAAGGCCAAUCAAACUCGGAAAUAGCUGGUUCUCCGCGAAAACUAUUUAGGUAGUGCGGCAAACGGACACCAUAAGGGGUAGAGCACUGAAAGAACUAGGGGGGAGCGAUCCUUACCAAAUUCUAUCAAACUCCGAAUACUUAUGAGUGAUAUUUGCCAGACAGACUCUAGGUGCUAAGGUCUAGGGUCGAGAGGGAAAGAGCCCAGACCGUCAAUUAAGGUCCCAAAAUUAUGGCUAAGUGGUAAAGGAAGUGGAUUGUCCAAAACAGUCAGGAGGUUGGCUUAGAAGCAGCCAUCCUUUAAAGAAAGCGUAAUAGCUCACUGAUCUAAUUAAGACGAUUUGCGCCGAAGAUGUAACGGGGCUAAAGCCAUAUACCGAAAUUACGGAUUUGCAUGAAGAAUGCAAGUGGUAGCGGAGCGUUCUGUAGGCCUGUGAAGGUGUCUCGUAAGGGAUGCUGGAGGUAUCAGAAGUGAGAAUGCUGACAUGAGUAGCGAAAAGAAGAGUGAGAGACUCUUCCGCUGAAAGUCCAAGGUUUCCUGCGUAAAGCUAAUCUGCGCAGGGUUAGUCGGCCCCUAAGGCGAGGCAGAGAUGCGUAGUCGAUGGGAAGCAGGUUAAUAUUCCUGCACCGGCCUGGAAGUGACGGAUAGCAGAGAUUGUAACUGAUUAUUGGAUUUUGGUUGCAGUUGAGUUGUCCCAGGAAAUAGCCCAGGCUAAGACCGUACCCGAAACCGACACAGGUGGACUGGUAGAGAAUACCAAAGCGCUUGAGAGAACUAUGUUGAAGGAACUAGGCAAAAUACUUGCGUAACUUCGGGAUAAGCAAGCCCGGUUUUAAGGCAACUUAAGGCCGGGGGCACAUACUAGGGGGUAGCGACUGUUUACUAAAAACACAGGGCUCUGCUAAAUUGAAAGAUGAAGUAUAGGGUCUGACGCCUGCCCGGUGCUGGAAGGUUAAGGAGAGAUGUGAGAGCAUUGAACCGAAGCCCCAGUAAACGGCGGCCGUAACUAUAACGGUCCUAAGGUAGCGAAAUUCCUUGUCGGGUAAGUUCCGACCU
rnacentral:rRNA from 1 species